rnacentral:rRNA from 1 species
GCCAAACAGCUAGCUUAACUACUUAAUAAAUAAACAAUAUAAAUAAAAUAAAAUAAACCUAACACUAGAAAUUAAAUCAUUCUUUUACCUGAGUAUGGGAGA